UUCGUUCUGCAGACUCCUACGGAUUGUGGUUGCCUUUCUGCUAGCUUUCUGGUCGACUUUUCCGAUCCAGGUGGAGGAUGAAUCUCACUCUGACUUGGAAGAAAUUUUGACUGAUCAGAACAGGACAACAAGUGAGACAUGGGCCUCUAGCCUCAUCAGCACAAGUAGAGAUAUUUGUACUUGAUGACGAAAAUUGGAUAAUUGAAGAACUAAACAAUCAUAUUAUGAUGCAAACAAGAGGUGGAACAUCAAGG